CCGUUCUAGAUUCAACCU
rnacentral:snRNA from 1 species